rnacentral:lncRNA from 1 species
AGAAGAACAUGAGCUCCUUCACAAUUCAAGGAUGCAAAAGAAGGGAUCAGCUGUGGGAGGACGGGGACAGAGAGUAGCCUACGUUGUAAGUUAGGGGGGUAUUUGUAGAAGAGAGGUAACAAUUACAACUGAACCCCUCCCCAACACAUUGUUUGCAACUCAUGUUUUGGAACAUGAAUUUUCAUGUUCCAAACAUGCUCAGGUUCUGAAACCUCUAUUCAGGUUUCGUAGAGACAGAAACUUUCUACCACAUAUGUUCUUGAACCUCAAGUCCAUGUUUCGAAACUUGACAUAGAAAUAAAAUUCUAAGAUUCAUGAUAUUAUAUAUUAAUCCAACUAAAUGGAAUACAUUUGUCUAUAACUACUGCAUGUUUAUUACAUGUAGCUCUAUCUAUAUUUUAGUAACAACUCCGCCCAAUUGAAUAACCCUCUAGAAAAAAUUCUUAAUUGUAAUAGUGAUGUAUCACAGCAGUCAAAAUGCUUCUUUUUUUCUUUUUUUCUUUUUUUUUUUAAAGUUGCUUGUAAUAUGGCACGGUCAUGAGCAUGAGGAGAAGUUCUACACUGUUACGCUUGCACCACGUCAUCAAUAACAAGCCAAUCAUAUUUCUGCUUUUCAAACAAAAGUACAACAAAAAUAUUUUUUUACCAUCAUGAUGGGACAUAUAUUUUUAAAAAAAUUUAUUUGAUUGGUUUGUGACGCCAUGUCACUAGUAUAACCGGUGUAUUCUAGAAUUUUUCCAUGAGGUGGCAGCUUGCAACUGACAAGGCUUGUUUUUGUCUUAAUAUUUUUUAAUAUUUUUUACUUUAUUUUAAAUAUAAUUUAAAUUAUUCAAAUAUUAAAUAACUUUCUUAAAAAAAGUUAUUUAAAUCUGUUUUAUUGAGGAAAUAACAAUAUAUUUGUCAGGAAGUUAUCAGUAAAAUUUAAAAAAUAAAAUUAAAACACUAAAAAAAUGUAUAGGGGUGUAUUUAAUUUCAAGCCUAAAUUUAGGCUCAAGCUCGGCUUGAAAUUAAUUCGAGUCGAGCUCAAACGAGCCUAAUUUUGUGUCGAGCGAGCUCAAACACUAACAAAGCCGCUUGAAAUUCUUAAUAUCAUACAAUCUAUAAUUUAAUUUUUAUAAAAUAUUAUCUAAAAUUUAAUACAAAAAUAUGUCUUAUAGUUUAACAUACAAAAUAAAUACAUAAAAUACAAUAUUAUAAAUACAUAAAAUACAAUAUUAUAAAAUACAAAAUAAAUACAUAAAAUACAAUAUUAUAAUAUUAAAAAAAUAAUUUAAGAGAAGCGACUCUACGAGCAAGUGAAAUGAAAGAGAGAAAGAGAAAGAGUAAUUUGAGUAGGGUUUUGCUGGUUUGGUUUUGUGGGCCAGCAAAUAUACAUAAUAACCUAAGCUCUAUAUAUAAUAUUUAAAUACAUAAUAAUUAUAUAUAAUUAAUAUAUAUAUAUAUAUAUAUAUAUAUAUAUAUAUAUAUAUAUAUAUAUAUAUAUAUAGAGUGAGGCUCCUAUCCUUCUGGAAGCACGGAGCCUUCCGUGCUUUCAGGUUGUUUUCGAUGUUGCAACUUUCAAAUCGUCGAUCGGCUCCGUUAAACUUGAUAUAGAGUAUUUGAAGUACCUAGAAAAUAAAUUUUAUGAUUUUCGAUAUCAUUUGCCUAGUGAUCGAAGCGCUCAAAAUCAAUAAUUUUAAUGGUCGUAGUGAGCCGUUUGCAAGUUUAACGGUGUAGAAAUAUUCAAAUCACAUGAAAUUUUGAUAGAAAAUUUUUUAUAUUAUAUAAAACAAGAUCAAUAUCUUUGAUCUAAAAUUUUAAUGUUAUAUUAUUACGUUUUGUAAGAUUUUUAUUUCAGCCGUUGCUUUUGAGCCCCUUCGUUCACUAGGCAAAUAAUAUCAAAAAAUUACAUAAUUUAUUUUCUAGGUACUUUUU